rnacentral:rRNA from 1 species
AACGGCUACCACAUCCAAGGAAGGCAGCAGGCGCGCAAAUUACCCACUCCCGGCACGGGGAGGUAGUGACGAAAAAUAACAAUGUUGGUCUACAAGGCCGACAAUUGGAAUGAGUACACUUUAAAUCCUUUAACGAGGAUCCAGUGGAGGGCAAGUCUGGUGCCAGCAGCCGCGGUAAUUCCAGCUCCACGAGCAUGUACGUAAGUUGUUGCAGUUAAAAAGCUCGUAGUUGGAUCUCAGGCUACGUAGCCAGUGGUCUGCUUUACGCAUGCACUGCUGUGCUCGGCCUAUCCUCAGUCUUGUGCCAUGUGCCCUUAACUGGGUGCGUGUGUGCAGCUGAAAAUUUUACUCUGAGAAAAUUAGAGUGCUCAAAGCAGGCCGGUUUCGGCUUGAAUAAUGUUGCAUGGAAUAAUGGAAUAGGACCUCGGUUCUAUUUUGUUGGUUCUCGGAGUCGAGGUAAUGACUAAAAGGGACAGACGGGGGCAUUCGUAUUGCGCUGUUAGAGGUGAAAUUCUUGGAUCGGCGCAAGACGAACAACUGCGAAAGCAUUUGCCAAGGAUGUUUUCAUUAAUCAAGAACGAAAGUCAGAGGUUCGAAGACGAUCAGAUACCGUCGUAGUUCUGACCAUAAACGAUGCCAACUGGCGAUCCGCCGUGCCUUCGUCAAGGAGUCGGCGGGCAGCCUCCGGGAAACCUAAGUCUUGGGUUCCGGGGGAAGUAUGGUUGCAAAGCUGAAA